AUUGAACGCUGGCGGCAGGCUUAACACAUGCAAGUCGAGCGGAGAUGAGGUGCUUGCACCUUAUCUUAGCGGCGGACGGGUGAGUAAUGCUUAGGAAUCUGCCUAUUAGUGGGGGAUAACAUUCCGAAAGGAAUGCUAAUACCGCAUACGUCCUACGGGAGAAAGCAGGGGAUCUUCGGACCUUGCGCUAAUAGAUGAGCCUAAGUCGGAUUAGCUAGUUGGUGGGGUAAAGGCCUACCAAGGCGACGAUCUGUAGCGGGUCUGAGAGGAUGAGCCGCCACACUGGGACUGAGACACGGCCCAGACUCCUACGGGAGGCAGCAGUGGGGAAUAUUGGACAAUGGGGGAAACCCUGAUCCAGCCAUGCCGCGUGUGUGAAGAAGGCCUUAUGGUUGUAAAGCACGUUAAGCGAGGAGGAGGCUACUGAGACUAAUACUCUUGGAUAGUGGACGUUACUCGCAGAAUAAGCACCGGCUAACUCUGUGCCAGCCGCCGCGGUAACAC
rnacentral:rRNA from 1 species